rnacentral:rRNA from 1 species
CCUACGGGAGGCAGCAGUGAGGAAUAUUGGUCAAUGGACGAGAGUCUGAACCAGCCAAGUAGCGUGAAGGAUGACUGCCCUAUGGGUUGUAAACUUCUUUUAUAAAGGAAUAAAACGAGGCACGUGUGCCUUUUUGCAUGUACUUUAUGAAUAAGGAUCGGCUAACUCCGUGCCAGAAGCCGCGGUAAUACGGAGGAUCCGAGCGUUAUCCGGAUUUAUUGGGGUUAAAGGGAGCGUAGAUGGGUUGUUAAGUCAGUUGUGAAAGUUUGCGGCUCAACCGUAAAAUUGCAAUUGAUACUGGCAGUCUUGAGUACGGUUGAGGUAGGCGGAAUUCGUGGUGUAGCGGUGAAAUGCUUAGAUAUCACGCAGAACCCCGAUUGCGAAGGCAGCUUACUAAACUGUGACUGACAUUGAUGCUCGAAAGUGUGGGUAUCGAACAGGAUUAGAUACCCCGGUAGUC